UGAGGAAUAUUGGUCAAUGGGCGCAAGCCUGAACCAGCCAUGCCGCGUGCAGGAAGACGGUCCUAUGGAUUGUAAACUGCUUUUAUUAGGGAAUAAACCUCCGGACGUGUCCGGAGCUGAAGGUACCUAAUGAAUAAGCACCGGCUAACUCCGUGCCAGCAGCCGCGGUAAUACGGAGGGUGCAAGCGUUAUCCGGAAUCAUUGGGUUUAAAGGGUCCGCAGGCGGAUUUAUAAGUCAGUGGUGAAAGCCCGUCGCUUAACGACGGAACUGCCAUUGAUACUGUAAGUCUUGAAUUCGAUCGAAGUGGGCGGAAUAUGACAUGUAGCGGUGAAAUGCUUAGAUAUGUCAUAGAACACCGAUAGCGAAGGCAGCUCACUAGGUCUGGAUUGACGCUCAGGGACGAAAGCGUGGGGAGCAAACAG
rnacentral:rRNA from 1 species